GUGUUGGUAGUUUAAACUACUAGUGCCGCAGCUAACGCAUUAAGUAUACCGCCUGGGGAGUACACUCGCAAGGGUGAAACUCAAAGAAAUUGACGGGGGCCCGCACAAGCGGUGGAUCAUGUGGUUUAAUUCGAUGAUACGCGAAGAACCUUACCUGGGCUUGAACUGUGCCUGACAGGUGUAGAGAUACACCCUCCUUCGGGCAGGUACAGAGGUGCUGCAUGGUUGACGUCAGCUCGUGUCGUGAGAUGUUGGGUUAAGUCCCGCAACGAGCGUAACCCUUACCCCUUGUUGCUAACAGGUUAUGCUGAGCACUCUAGGGGGACUGCCGGUGACAAACCGGAGGAAAGUGAGGAUGACGUCAAAUCAUCACGGCCCUUAUGUCCAGGGCUACACACGUGAUACAAUGGUCGGUACAAAGAGCCGCAAUACCGCGAGGUGGAGCAAAUCUCAAAAAACCGAUCCCAGUUCGGAUUGUAGUCUGCAACUCGACUACAUGAAGUUGGAAUCGCUAGUAAUCGCAGAUCAGCACGCUGCGGUGAAUACGUUCCCGGGCCUUGUACACACCGCCCGUCACACCAUCCGAGUUGGCAGCACCCAAAGGGGCUGGUCUAACCCGCAAGGGAGGAAGGUCAUUAAGGUGAAGCUAGUAAGGAGGGUGAAGUCGUAACAAGGUAGCCG
rnacentral:rRNA from 1 species